UAUUUUGUUCUCUUACGUUGUGUUUUCUAGCUAGGAAGCCCAUCGGAGGCAGCAAAUGUUUUUAUUUUUUAUGUAUCGCGUGCAGUUUGCUUUGAGAGAGCGCCCCUCGGUGGUAAAGGCAAGCGUAAAUGCUUGAAUUAAAUCAGUACUGUUGUAGCAAGUUGGCAAAUCACAUUACCAUAGUUGGUCAGAGACUCCUUGAGAGAAGCUACUGAAUGAAAGCUCUUCCUCCACCCCACUUCCCGUCCAUCUCUUGUUUUCUUUGCUCAGGUACGGGAUCCGCUGCAACACGGUUCUGCCAGGAUUCAUCCGGUCCCCCAUGACAGAGAAGGUCCCCACCAAAGUCCUGGAUAAGUUUGCAGCAAUGGUGCCCCUGGGACGCCUGGGGGAGCCUGAAGAUGUUGCCGACGUCUGUGCCUUCCUCGCUUCGGAGGAGAGCCGGUAUAUCACCGGGGCCAGCCUGGAAGUGACAGGGGGCCUCUUCAUCUGAGCCACUGGCGCCAUAUCCCUGCUGGGGAGACCCCCACCAACACACUCCCUGCGCUCCCCAGGAAGGCCUGCGGGUGUCUUUCAGGGAGAAGCUGCACUCCAUGGACAGUCCUGGCACUCGGUUGAUGCCUGUCGAUGCCAAAAGGGCAUGGAGGAUGGGCCCUGGGCUUCUCUGGAAGGGAGAGGCCUUUUCACGCCAAGCAUUGCCCUCCCCCAGCAGCGAGGGGUACAAUUGCUGGCUCCGGCUGCCACCUGUUGGGAGCGCUUUUAAACAGAUCACUCUCCCACCUCCCUGUGGACUAAUCAAGCAGUUAAUCAUAUUUAAAUAAAGAUGCUUCCCCACCCUUAGUAAGACAAAGCUGAAAAA